GAUGAACGCUGGCGGCGUGCCUAAUACAUGCAAGUCGAGCGAACAGAUAAGGAGCUUGCUCCUUUGAAGUUAGCGGCGGACGGGUGAGUAACACGUGGGUAACCUACCUAUAAGACUGGGAUAACUUCGGGAAACCGGAGCUAAUACCGGAUAAUAUCUAGAACCGCAUGGUUCUAAAGUGAAAGAUGGUUUUGCUAUCACUUAUAGAUGGACCCGCGCCGUAUUAGCUAGUUGGUAAGGUAACGGCUUAUCAAGGCGACGAUACGUAGCCGACCUGAGAGGGUGAUCGGCCACACUGGAACUGAGACACGGUCCAGACUCCUACGGGAGGCAGCAGUAGGGAAUCUUCCGCAAUGGGCGAAAGCCUGACGGAGCAACGCCGCGUGAGUGAUGAAGGGUUUCGGCUCGUAAAACUCUGUUAUUAGGGAAGAACAAAUGUGUAAGUAACUGUGCACAUCUUGACGGUACCUAAUCAGAAAGCCACGGCUAACUACGUGCCAGCAGCCGCGGUA
rnacentral:rRNA from 1 species